GCCUACGGCCAUACCACCCUGAAAGCGCCCCGAUCUCGUCUGAUCUCGGAAGCUAAGCAGGGACGGGCUUGGUUAGUACCUGGAUGGGAGAACCGCCUGGGAAUACCAGGUGUUGUAGGCU
rnacentral:rRNA from 1 species